UCUCUCCAUCAGCUCACAAGCCGGGUACACUGAGAACCAUGUGGAAGGAAGUACUGCUAGUUGGCUUUGCGAGUGUUGUCCUGCAGGCUCCGCAGGCACAGAGCGCAGCAGAGAGCGUACCCUUCCACGGCUACCUUCCAGGCGAGAAUGUCAGGGCGAAGGCACCCGAAGGAGACGGAGGCCCCAAUGACAUCUACGCCCAUCUACCUGUGCGGCGUCCAGAGCUGGACGACGACCAGGUAGUCAUCUACCCGCACAGUCUGGUCUUCGAGUACGGCCAAGACCCAGAGCAUCACAUCUACGAAGUGCACUCGGCCAAGGAACUGGCCAAUCUCGCACACUCCAAGCACGACAAGCAUGGCAAGCACGCACACGACCACCACCAUCACGAUAAGGGCACCAAGGAAGCAGCAGACAAAGGCACACCCAAGAACCUCAAGCCCGCUCCUCCUGUCAGCAACUCUGUUCCUCCUCCUCCUCCUCCUCCUGCACCUGCUCACCCCCACCCCCACCCACCUCACCAUCCCCGUUCCUAUGGCCCUCCCCCUCCCCCUCCCCAUGGAUCCUACCCUCCUCCUCCCGGCGCCUAUCCUCCUCCUCGUCCCUAUCCCUACCAAGCUCAUCACGGUUAGAUAGGUGACCCUCACCCCGCUUCUGUAUAUAACGCUGUCAUUCUUCCUCCUCUAGGCUUAGGUUCCGAUGCCCAUUUCAUCUCGCCAGCUUCCCCUUUCACACCCCCGUCCUUAUAACAUUCGUGUCCGAUUAACUGUAAAUAUCCUGUAGAGAAAACUAAUCCAGUUUAUGGGAGUUUAAAGCCACGCAGUUCUCCAAGGAAAUUAUUUUCACUGCUCAAUCCUAAAGUGUGGUUCCCCAUGAACAAAAUCCUGAACUCCCCAUCCUAUCGUUCCGUCAUGUCCCUACGUCGUCGUCGGCAGGUGUCAUCCUGCCUUUCCUUCCCCAGUGCUUGAAUGCGACGCACUAACCAUGCCCUUUGCCAGAAACAGCAUCCUUGCCGUAUCCUCGUCUGCCCCCGUCGCCCUGUCACAUCGUUACCCCGUCAUUACUGUCCCAAGUCCUGUACCCCAGAGUCCUGCCGCUCUCCACGUCUAACGGAUGAUGACUAACAAUUAUGCUAGUUGAGCUCCUUCGCCAGGCUACAGACCCUACCCCUGUCUUAUCACAUGCAUCCCUGAUCCCUUCAUUUACUAACGGUCUCAUGUCCAUUCGUCUCCAGUCUCCUUUUUGACAAGGAAACUCGCAGACAUUCUUGGUUCUCCCGGAUCUCCCAAGUCCUGGGCAGGGUCAAAGACUUUACCCUCCAGCCUAACCCGUCAUAGCCUUCACCUAGUCUUCCUGUCAGUUUUUCACAGCUUAAGUGAAGCUGGAGGAAGCUUUAUCCCAAUCCCUAUUCCCCGCCCUGCUCCCAGCUAAGGUAUUAUCAGUACUAAUAUCAUUACUAUGAGAAUUUCUCUUAUUAAGGGAAUAUCUCACGAUGACUGCGUCCUAAAUAGAGAUUUUACACGUUUCAUGUUUAGGUCAAUCAUGCUACAAGUCCUUCGUCCUUAUCCUUCACAUCCCCUGCCCUGCAUCCUCGGCUAGACUCCUUAACCAACCCAUCCCAUCCUGAAGAAGGUCCUCACCGUAUCCUCUCACCCCAUCCUGAAGAAGGUCCUCACCAUAUCCUCCCAUCCCACCCUGAAGAAGGUCCUCACCGUAUCCUCUCAUCCCAUCCUAGGAUUGUAACUCCCCAAACCUUUGAUCCUCACGCCUCCCAGAAGAUAUCCAAACGUCCCAAUCCUUUUCCAAAUACCCUUGGCCUACAACCUUUUCUGGAACUGAGAAUGUCCAAGGCCUUCAUUCUCACAUCCCUGAAAGGCAUCCUGUCAUCUCAUCCUUAUCCUCCCAAAAUUCAAGCCUCGAAUCCUCUCCCGAGAUCCCAGUAUCCUGCAUCCUACGACCUCAGUUCCCACGCCCCUUUGGGGGUUCCCGCCUAUAUCCUAACUCAUCCUUACCCUGUGAUUCCAUAACUAACAGAAGGCAAUGCCAUCAGUUCACAACGCCCUCCCCAAGUUCCAGCAAGGACGCUUAACAUUUCCUGCAAUCCUGCCCAGUUAUCCAGUCCCUUUAUCCUACAAUCAACCUGACCCGAUCCUGCAAAGUUGUCCAUCCUCAUCACCAAGUCCUAAUAUCCUCUGUCCUCCAAGAAGAAACCUCCAGAUCCUCAACUACAGCAAGUUAUCCUCCGACCCAAGUCCUGUCAACCCGAUUCCUGCAGUCCUUCAGUCCUCUUCUUACCGCGAAGAAGGAAGUCUUCCUCAUUCGCCCAGGUCCUCUUCGACCUCAUCCUCAUCCCGGACUUUGUCCUCAUCCCCAGCCUCGUCCUCACCCCGUCUCCGUCUUGAUGAUCACCCUCGUCCUCCUCAGACCUCUUCCUCAUCCCUAACCCUGUCCUCCUCGACCUCGUCCUCCACGACCUCAUCCCUGAUCCCGUCCUCCUCCACCUCGUCCUCAACCCGAUCUCCGUCCUGAUCCUCACCCUCGUCCUCGAUAGACCUCUUCCUCAUCCUUAACCCUGCCCCCCUCAACCUCAUCCUCAACCCGGUCUUCGUCCUAAUCCUCACCCUCGUCCUCGAUCACCUACAUCUGCAACCUGAAGACGGACAUCCCUGCAGCCGGCAGGACUCCACGUUACUAAUGGGCAUUUCCUUUCAACAUGUGAUAUUGUGAUAUGUAUUUAUACGCACAUAUAUAUAACUUAUGAAAUCAAAUGCAUGGUGCUAAAAUAUCAAAAAUGGUAAAAAAAAUAUAAACGUGUGACUGAUGCCAUGAGUAGUCGGUAUGAGUGAAUGCAUAUGCAUUGUAUUUUUUUAUUUAAAUCUUUAUUAAAGAUACGUGACGAAAUA
rnacentral:misc_RNA from 1 species